UCCCGGAAGGCGCACUAAAUUAGCCCUAAAGAUCGCUGGGAAUUGUAGUUUAAUCUUUCCAUCAGCGUUAAAUCAGGAAGUCUUGAGAAGUGAAAAGCCACAGCCUGAUUGUGGAGGCCAAGAAGUCCCACAGUCUCCCGCUCUGCUGUCUAUACACUGGAGAACCAGGAAAACAGGUGGUAUAAUUCAGGAAAGUCCAAAGCAGGGGAGGAGGCUCACUGCUAAGUCCCAGAGCCUGAAGGACGAAGAACCAGGAACUCCAAUGAUGUCCAAAGGCAGGACUUGUCUGAUCUCCUAUCAACAAAAACUUAAUGGGUGCAGUAGGAGCUUCAGGGAGCUGUGAGCAGUGACCUGCUGACAUCAAGGGGUCCCCUCAGCAUUGAAGACAGAAGAGGCAAAUGACAUUUCAUGUCCCACUUGGAAAGUCAAGGUGCAGAAAACAGAGGGGACCAGACUCCUUCAUAUCCUGCGCAGCGUCAUCUCCUGCCGCAAGAAGCACCCCACCUGCCGCAAGAAGCACUCCACCCGCAUGACUCAGUCUUUGCCCAGUAGGUUGAUGAUAACCUAAGAAGCUGAAGACCUCACAGGGGCUCUGAAAGCCAACUGAAGUAGAUGCAGCAAACUGUUCCAUCAUGUCAUCCUUCCCUCUGCCUUGGGUCACCAGCCAAGGGAGGGAGUGGCUCAGGUGUUUUCCUUUCCACCCCUUUGUAAGCCCCCACGCAGAUCUCCUCCCCAUCCCAGAAGCCCAAGGAGCCAGCAAUAUCUGUGGUUCCCUGAGGUUCGGAGAGACACAGUAGCAAAUAACUGUACCCAGGCCCCACUCCCCACUUCCAGGGAUGUAUAGCUUCGGGGUGUGGAGCACAGAGGACUUUUCCCAGAGCCUCACCCCAGAUGAACAGCCAACUUCCCUUUGUUCAGCCUUCCUCAGAUACUCAAACCCAGCAGCCCAUGGCCUUCUCUGUCAGGAAGUCCUUCCUGAUGUCUAACUUACAUCUUUCCUGCUGCUGUCUAUCCAGCCCUUAGCAGUGACAGGAGAGCAGUCUGAGCUCUAAUGAUCAGGGAAUGGGGACAAGAACAAGUACUUCCCUUCAAGCCUUGGGUAGGGGAGUAGUAAGCAAAGAAAGAAGAGUGGCUCACUCAGCCUCAUCUCUCCCGGCCUGUAGCAGUAGAAAUGGAGGGUAGACAACUGGAAGGACUUCCUAGCCAAGCAAAGGGAGGUACUUCUGGAAUAGGAUUAUAAAGUGCAAAGGCUGCGCCCUUUCUGAUGGCCUCCCAGCCUGGCAGAGACCCUUCAGUGGCAGCUUCAGAAGGAUAACCGGCACUUCCAGAAAAGCUCAGGGUGCUGGGAUUACUGGGAACCCUUGCAGCUCCAGCAAAAAGAAAAACCUGGUCCUGGAGCCCCCUUGUGGCCGUGCAGAGGCAGGACAGGCAGUUCCACCUCCCACCACCACACCCGUGCUUAGAGCUGGGGCCCAGGGUUGCUGAUGCAGAGGACAGGGAACCCAGGGCCCCACCUUCUGUGAGAGGCCAAAUCGGCAGCCCCAGCCCCGAGGGCACCUGAUCAGGAAGGAGUAGGGCCCAGAAGGAGCACUGGAAGAGGACACAGGCUAACCCCAUUCUGUUCCUAAUCUGCCGCUCUCCAUCUGGUGACCCUGGGCACACCUCCCCACAGAGCCUCAGUGACCUCAUUCAUUAAAAGGAAGAAAAAGCCGGGCACGGUGGCUCACACCUGUAAUCCCAGCACUUUGGGAG
rnacentral:lncRNA from 1 species